rnacentral:ncRNA from 2 species
UCAAAUUUUUAAGCGCCAGGACUUACUCUUUUAGGGAGUAAGUUGACGAGGUGGAGGUUUAUCGAGGUUUUCGGCGGGUGCCUCCAGGUAGUUGCUACCUACCUUAAGGAGACUCACAAAACUGGUGGGUGACCACCAGGACAAAAGGUCUCCAAGUAGCAUU